rnacentral:rRNA from 1 species
UACGGAGGGGGCUAGCGUUGUUCGGAAUUACUGGGCGUAAAGCGCACGUAGGCGGACUGUUAAGUCGGGGGUGAAAUCCUGGGGCUCAACCUCAGAAUUGCCUCCGAUACUGGCAGUCUCGAGUGCGGGAGAGGUGAGUGGAAUUCCCAGUGUAGAGGUGAAAUUCGUAGAUAUUGGGAAGAACACCAGUGGCGAAGGCGGCUCACUGGCUCAUUUCUGACGCUCAGGCGCGACAGCGUGGGGAUCAAACAGG